rnacentral:tRNA from 1 species
GAAGAUGAGCGAAACUAAAUAUGCAGGGCUACGCUCGUAGACGCUGAAGCAAUCGACGUUUCUGGACGUGGGUUCGACUCCCACCGUCUCCA